AACGAACGUUGGCGGCGUGGAUCAGGCAUGCAAGUCGAGCGACGUAGCAAUACGGAGCGGCGAAAGGGGCAGUAGUGUGUGGGUAACCUACCCCGUGGACGAUGACAGCCAGGCUAACGCCUGGGUAAGCAUCGGCGAUCUACUCGUGUGGCAUCACAUGGGUAGUACACGUAAGGCCAUGGGAGGGGCUCACAUCGUAUUAGCUAGUUGGUGGGGUAACGGCCCACCAAGGCGAAGAUGCGUAGCGGGUGUGAGAGCACGACCCGCGCCACUGGCACUGAGACACUGGCCAGACUCCUACGGGAGGCUGCAGUCGAGGAUCUUCGGCAAUGGGGGAAACCCUGACCGAGCGACGCCGCGUGGACGACGAAGGCCUUCGGGUUGUAAAGUCCAAAGGUACCAAGGAAAACAAUGACCGAGGUACAGUAAGCACGGGCUAAGUUCGUGCCAGCAGCCGCAGUAAAAC
rnacentral:rRNA from 1 species